rnacentral:lncRNA from 10 species
UCUUGCAGUUUGAUCUCAGACUGCUGUGCUAGCAAUCAGCGAGACUCCGUGGGCGUAGGACCCUCCGAGCCAGGUGCAGGAUAUAAUCUCGUGGUGCACCGUUUUUUAAGCCGGUCGGAAAAGCGCAGUAUUUGGGUGGGAGUGACCCGAUUUUCCAGGAGCGUCCGUCACCCCUUUCUUUGACUCAGAAAGGGAACUCCCUGACCCCUUGCGCUUCCCAAGUGAGGCAAUGCCUCGCCCUGCUUCGGCUUGCGCACGGUGCGCACACCCACUGACCUGCGCCCACUCUCUGGCACUCCCUAGUGAGAUGAACCCGGUACCUCAGAUGGAAAUGCAGAAAUCACCCGUCUUCUCCGUCGCUCACGCUGGGAGCUGUAGACUGGAGCUGUUCCUAUUCGGCCAUCUUGGCUCCUCCCUCCAUCGGUAAACCAACUCUUUAACAAAGGGGAGCUGAGGCUCUGUGGCUGGAACCUGGGACUUAGGCCUGAAUUAAUCAGAGCAAUGCACUCCACUGGCCCCAAUCCACAACCCCCAAGGGAAAGCCUAAGGAAUGAUGCCCAUGAAUCUUAAUAAAGUCCCACAGGUCCUGUCCCCGCUGCCCCCCAAUGGUUGAGCUCCAUGCCAUCUCUGGACUUCUGUCAGCACUCCUAACCUUUCUGGGACCUGUGAGUAAUAAAUUUCUUCUGUUCAUGCAUUUUGGUUUCACUUUCU